CAGUAGGGUGCCAUCAAGAGGUGUAUUUGGAAAUAUCC
rnacentral:rRNA from 1 species